GGUGAAAAUAUUUGUUUAGGGAUUAGAAAGGAGUACAUGAUACUGAAUGCCACUAAUGGUGCAUUGACUGAUGUAUUUCCUUCUGGUAGACUAGCUCCUCCUUUAGUGGUCUCUCUUCCUUCUGGGGAGCUCCUUCUUGGGAAGGAGAACAUUGGGGUCUUUGUGGACCAAAAUGGCAAGCUUCUUCAAGCAGAGAGGAUUUGUUGGUCGGAGGCCCCUUCUGUCAUUGUCAUUCAGAAACCUUAUGCAAUAGCUCUGCUUCCAAGACGUGUUGAGAUUCGGUCUCUCCGAGUUCCAUAUCCAUUGAUACAGACCAUUGUACUUCAAAAUGUCCGUCAUCUUAUUCAAAGCAAUAAUGCAGUAAUCGUUGCGUUAGACAAUUCUGUAUAUGGGCUCUUCCCUGUUCCACUUGGGGCACAGAUUGUACAGUUAACAGCAUCUGGGAAUUUUGAGGAAGCCUUGGCCUUAUGCAAGCUGCUUCCACCUGAAGAUUCAAGCUUGCGAGCAGCAAAGGAAGGGUCAAUUCAUAUAAGAUAUGCUCACUAUCUUUUUGAGAAUGGGAGCUAUGAAGAGGCUNNNNNNNNNUUUUUAGCAUCCCAAGUGGAUAUCACAUAUGUCCUUUCUUUGUAUCCAUCUAUUGUUCUUCCCAAGACAUCUAUGCUUCGUGAACCAGAAAAGCUAAUGGACAUUUCUUCAGAUGCUCCAUAUCUCUCAAGAGGUUCAUCUGGAGUAUCGGAUGAUAUGGAAUCCUUAGCUCCACCGCAGUUAACUGAAUUUGAUGAGCAUGCUGCCCUUGAAUCCAAG
rnacentral:misc_RNA from 1 species